GAUGAACGCUGGCGGCGUGCCUAAUACAUGCAAGUCGAGCGAACGGACGAGAAGCUUACUUCUCUGAUGUUAGCGGCGGACGGGUGAGUAACACGUGGAUAACCUACCUAUAAGACUGGGAUAACUUCGGGAAACCGGAGCUAAUACCGGAUAAUAUUUUGAACCGCAUGGUUCAAAAGUGAAAGACGGUCUUGCUGUCACUUACAGAUGGAUCCGCGCUGCAUUAGCUAGUUGGUAAGGUAACGGCUUACCAAGGCAACGAUGCAUAGCCGACCUGAGAGGGUGAUCGGCCACACUGGAACUGAGACACGGUACAGACUCCUACGGGAGGCAGCAGUAGGGAAUCUUCCGCAAUGGGCGAAAGCCUGACGGAGCAACGCCGCGUGAGUGAUGAAGGUCUUCGGAUCGUAAAACUCUGUUAUUAGGGAAGAACAUAUGUGUAAGUAACUGUGCACAUCUUGACGGUACCUAAUCAGAAAGCCACGGCUAACUACGUG
rnacentral:rRNA from 1 species